rnacentral:lncRNA from 1 species
UUUAAAAUUUGAAACAAAUAAAUCAGUUAAUCCAAUAUUAUAUUUCAUAACUUGUGUUGCUUGCAACUAUGUUGUAUGUACAGCCUACCAGAGAUGGAUGAUGAAUUGCAGCUCUAACUUGAAAGUCCCCACUUUGGACUGUGUCUUGGAUUGAGAGAUUGCUCGGACCUGGAUGCUUCUGUGGCUACCUGCACUUAGCAUCACUUGACAUCAUCUCACCAUAUCCAUAAGUCA